AGCAGUCGCCGCGGUAAUACGGAGGGUGCAAGCGUUAUCCGGAUUUAUUGGGUUUAAAGGGUCCGUAGGCGGAUCUGUAAGUCAGUGGUGAAAUCUCACAGCUUAACUGUGAAACUGCCAUUGAUACUGCAGGUCUUGAGUAAAUUUGAAGUGGCUGGAAUAAGUAGUGUAGCGGUGAAAUGCAUAGAUAUUACUUAGAACACCAAUUGCGAAGGCAGGUCACUAAGAUUUAACUGACGCUGAUGGACGAAAGCGUGGGGAGCGAACAGGAUUAGAUACCCCGGUAGUCCCUGUCUCUUAUAC
rnacentral:rRNA from 1 species